rnacentral:rRNA from 1 species
UACAGAGGGUGCGAGCGUUGUCCGGAAUCACUGGGCGUAAAGGGCGCGUAGGUGGUGGCUUAAGCGUGCGGUGAAAGCUCGGGGCUCAACCCCGAGUCGGCCGUGCGAACUGGGCUCACUGGAGCAUAGUAGAGGCAGGUGGAAUUCCGGGUGUAGCGGUGGAAUGCGCAGAUAUCAGGAGGAACACCGAUUGCGAAGGCAGCUCGCUGGGACGUAACUGACGCUGAGACGCGAAAGCGUGGGGAGCAAACAGG